UACGGAGGGUGCUAGCGUUGUUCGGAAUCACUGGGCGUAAAGGGCGUGUAGGCGGUCUGUUAAGUCUGAUGUGAAAUCCCCUCGCUCAACGAGGGAACUGCGUCGGAUACUGGCAGACUUGAGUACCGGAGAGGAAGGUGGAAUUCCCGGUGUAGCGGUGAAAUGCGUAGAUAUCGUCAAGAACACCGAUAGCGAAGGCAGCUUACCAAGCUGUAACUGACGCUGAGGCACGAAAGUGUGGGGAUCAAACAGG
rnacentral:rRNA from 1 species